rnacentral:rRNA from 1 species
AGUGAACGCUGGCGGUAGGCCUAACACAUGCAAGUCGAACGGCAGCACAGUAAGAGCUUGCUCUUACGGGUGGCGAGUGGCGGACGGGUGAGGAAUACAUCGGAAUCUACUUUUUCGGGGGGGAUAACGUAGGGAAACUUACGCUAAUACCGCAUACGACCUACGGGUGAAAGCAGGGGAUCUUCGGACCUUGCGCGAUUGAAUGAGCCGAUGUCGGAUUAGCUAGUUGGCCGGGUAAAGGCCCAGCAAGGCGACGAUCCGUAGCUGGUCUGAGAGGAUGAUCAGCCACCCUGGAACUGAGCCACGGUCCAGACUCCUACGGUAGGCAGCAGUGGGGAAUAUUGGACAAUGGGCGCAAGCCUGAUCCAGCCAUACCGCGUGGGUGAAGAAGGCCUUCGGGUUGUAAAGCCCUUUUGUUGGGAAAGAACAGCAGCAGGUUAAUACCACGCUGUUCUGACGGUACCCAAAGAAUAAGCACCGGCUAACUUCGUG